rnacentral:lncRNA from 1 species
GUGGAUCUACUUUAUACUGGGGCUCAGGAUGCUAGUCCCACACAAAGUGAUUUAAUCGAAACAUUUAAGUACAAAUCCAUGGUCAUCUAGAUAAUAUUUUUUGACAACUUGUUGUAUAUGAGGCACUGCACUGGGCACUUUAAACACUGAAUCUUACAUAAUAACAGACCUCUGAAGUGGAUGUUUAAGGUUCCUGCCCAGGGCUCCAUAUAUAGGCAACAAUAGUCAGAAAAUACCAAAGUAUUAUUUAUUAAUAGUGAGAUAGCUCCUGUUAACCUCAUUUUGAAAUUCUAAUUGAGGUUUUCCUUCUUUCUCUUGCCCCCAAAUCACAGGUGACUAGGUCAUAGGACAAGCUUAAUCUAAUUGACUUAUUCUUUGAAUCAUAGGCUGAACUACUGGAACAGUACUGUGUGACAUGUUUGCCACUUUCAAAUACAAUAAUUCUGCUCAUUUCUCCACAGAUGUUCAGGCUAUUGAUCAAUAAAAAUUAAUAAUUCCUCUUCUAAGAAGAAAGGGGAUGAGGGGAAAGGCAUAGGAUAUCCUAUUCUCUCUAAGCACCUGAAGACUGAAGCGUGGUGAGAGAAGACUGUCUCUUUGUAGUGUGUUUUAUUCCCUGUUUUAUGGAUGUGCACAUGGAAGAUUGGAAAGGCUGAAUAACUUGUCCAUGUCAUGUAGCCCAUGCUUUUAAUCUCUUUAAUAUACCACUUAUCUUCUCACCUACCAAUUUGCCUUUUGUACUAAUGUCCUGAGAGAGGGAACAUUGUUCAGGAUUGAAAUGACCAACCAUAAAUAAGCUUGAAAUGCAUUUAUAUUUCCAUUAGCUGGUAUAUUCACUUGUUUCUUUUAAGUGAGGUCUUCCGCCUUUUUAGGGACCUAAGUGACUAAUGAUGUGUUUUUCUUGAUUGGAUAAGAAUUCUCCAACUGUAAUAUUCUGAAAAAGAAGCAUGUAUUUCUUUGAGCCCUAUGUAUGCUUCUGGAGUUGAGCUUCUAAAUCACAUAGGUUUCUGUUUUUCAAAAAAAAAAAUAAUAUAUGAUCUCAUUUGUAAAUGCGGCAACUUAACUUUUCUCCUAGCUGCAAGCAGUGACUAAUGAGUUGUUGGGCAUGGUAGAGACAGCCCUCCAUUUUAGCAACUCUGGCAUGCAUGUAGCUCAUGACUGUAAGAAGAGACCAGAUGAAGAUUAACAUGCUUGGAAUUAUAUUACAAAUCAAUACUGAAAUAGAGCUUAACAUAUAAUUCAUCUGGAAAGUGGCUCAGAACAUGAUUGCCAGUUAUUUAAUAUUCUGGCCUAAGACAAGAAGUAUGGUAUUUUGACUAUGGUAUUUUGAACGUCAGGUUGCAAAUAGCAGUGCAUUAGUGCACUCAAAUGAGUAGAGAAUACUGAAUAAUUAAGUGAAGAGGAGAUGGGAGACCUGCAUUGUAAUCUUCUUUUGGUCACUGAUGGGAAUAAUGUAGAUUUUAAGCCACAUUCACUUUACAUGUCAUUUACUGCCUUGGUUUUCUCACCUGCAAAACUAGGGAGUGACUAUAGUUCUGUAAUAAUCCUUGAUGAUCUUUAGGUCUAUGAUUCUAGAAGCAUCUUGAUUUAAUACAGUUUGAAGAUUUAUGCCUAAACUCUAGCAAGAAGAAAAAUGCACCCUUAUUUCUAAACUGGCCUCAAUGUUGCAUUAACAGAGAUAAUGAAGUCUUUUGAGUAUUGUUCAGAAAAUCACCAAUUUAAAAUUCAUCUCCACUGUUGGAUUUUAUUGUAUGCUUAGCUUUUACUAAAUCUGUGAUGAUUUUAUUUAUUUUCUUUUGCACUGUACUGGCAGCCUGAGUGGUUGAAGAAACACAUCGAUACUUAUUUUAGGUACUUGGUUUUCAGAGCCAACUCUGUGUUCUUUGCUCUGUCUAUGAAUUAUUUAUUUAAUUUGAUGUGUUUUUCCCUGGAUUCAUAGAAUUUCCUUUUGUCAUUAUGUUUCUUUCCAUUUAUGGGGCUGUAAAUGUGGUGACCAAACCUCUCCAGUGGCUGAACAUGAAUCAGGUCUUUUGUGUGAAGGAUGCUAGCUAAUCACCCUGUUUAUAGGCCUACUACAUUUUUAUUCAUUUGCUUUUUUCUGCCCACCCCUGAUAGUAGUAUCUGUGGAGUAAAUAAAAUAAUGAUACCUAAUACUUACAUAAAACAGAUCAGAAAAACUUAACUUUUCCCUGAUUUUUCUUUUUUUUUCUUCUUUUACAGCCACAAUCGUGGCAUAGGAAGGUCCCAGCCUAGGGGUCAAAUCAGAGCUGCAGCUGCCAACCUACACCACAGCCACAGCAACACAGGAUCUGAGACACAUCUGCAACUUAUGCCACAGUCUCGGACAAUGCUGGAUCCUUAGCCCACUGAGCAAGACCAGGGAUCAAACCUCAACCUUCAUGAAUACUAGUUAGAUUCUUAAUCUACUGAGCUAUAAUGGGAACUCCCACUGAUUUUUAAAAUUUGCUAAGAUUUUUGGUAACGUGCACUUCUAUUUUUCUCCGAAUCUCAGUUCACCUACAAUAUGGGCAUAAUUAUGCAUACAGUAUGACGUGGUGAGCAUAAAAGAAACUCUACCCCUCUGCUACCAUACUGGGAAAAAACAAUUGGAUUGAUUUUCCCCAAGUUUGCAGGCACAUGUUUUCAAUGGCCUCUUUGAAAAUACUGACUACAUGGGAUACUGUGGGGCACUCGGAAGGCACCUUAAGGAGGUAGACAAAUAACACCAGAACAUAGCAAUUGAAAUAAAGUGAGAAGUAUUUCGACUUCUCAUCAGAAGAGAAAUGUUCUGUGAUAGUAAUAGUUCUUAACUUCUGGAGAUACAUUAAAAUCUCUUUCAAAGCUUUAGAAAAAUAUUAAAGCCCAGCCUGUAAUUUACACCAACUAAAUAUGAAUUUCUGGGGAGUUGGACUGAGGCAUUACUAUAUUUUAUUGUGUUUUACGUUAUUAUUAUUUUGCUUUUUAAGGCCGCACUUGCGGCAUAUGGAGGUUCCCAUGCUAGGUCAAAUCGGAGCUGCAGCUGCCAGCCUAUACCAUGGCCAUGGCAACACAGGAUCCGAGCUGCAUCUGCUACCUACAACAAUGCCAGAUCCUUAACCCAAUGAGGGAGGCCAGGGAUUGAACUCGAGUCCUCAUGGAUACUAGUGGGGUUCGUUACUGCUGGGCCACAAUGGAAACUCUGGAAUAUUUUAAAGUUUGCAGAACGUGAUGGUUAACUUCAUGUGUCAACUUGACUGGAUCAUGGAGUACAGAGAUAUGUUGCUAAGCAUUAUUUCUGGGUGGGUCUGUGAGGGUGUUUCCAGAUGAGAUUAGCAUUUGAAUUGGUAGAUGGAGUAAAGCAUUUUCCUCUCUAGUGUAGAUGGGCAUCAUCCCAUCAAAAAGGCAUAGGAAGGGAGAAUUUGUGCUCUCUAGUUGAGUACUUUAUUGAUCUCCUGCCCUCUGUGACUUAACACCAUCACCUUCCAGUUCUCAAAACUAUACCACUGGCUUUCCUGGGUUUCCAGUUUAGAUUUAAGAUACAGGUAUAUUUAAUAUUUAACACAUUUAAUAUGAAUUACAUGUGUUAAAGCAAUUACAUGUGUUACAUUAUAUUUAUAAUAUAUCUAUCAGUUCUCUUCCUUUAGAGAACCCUGGAUAAUCCUCAUGGUAAUUCCAACAUACAUUAAAUAUAAAGAACUAUAUAAGCGUUAAAAUACUAUGGUUAAAGUAUUAAAAAAGUGGAUGCUCUGAGGGGGUAGUUCUUAUUACAUGCACAACUCAAUGGGGAUAAGUAGUGAUAUAAGUUACUUUUUCAUUUUAAAUGGUGGCCAGUAAUGUAUAUAUACACACAAUAUGGUAACAUAUGGUAUAUACAUAUGGUAUAAAACAAGUAUUGGUCGGAGUUCCCAUCGUGGCUUAGUGGAAACUAAUCUGACUAGCAUCCACGAGGACAAAGGUUUUGAUCCCUGGCCCUCCUCAGUGGGUUGAGAAUCCGGCAUUGCCGUGAGCUGUGGUGUAAGUCACAGACAUGGGUUGGAUCCACAUUGUUGUGGCAUAGGUCAGUGGUUAGAGCUUGGAAUUGACCCCUAGCCUGGGAACCUCCAUAUACCAUAGAUGUGGCCCUAAAAUGAUAACUGCUCCCCCCAAAAAAACCCCAAAACAGGUAUUGGUCAUCCAGCUUCUGUUUGAGUACUCCUAGUGACUCAAAUAAUCCACUUGGUGAGUUAAGUGAUCCAACAUAUGAAUAACUAUAAUUUCUACAAAGUACUUUCUUAUAUUUGCCUCCCUGAAGCAUCUCACCCAUUCGUCUUGGCUUGACUUGGUGGAACUACAGAGAAAAAAAAUUGAAUUUCAAAUACCCAUGUUAGUACUUCAGAGAUUUGCAAUCCAUUCUCAUACCAUUGAAGUCUAAUUUGUUUCAGGACAAAAAUUCAGAGUUUUUCCUAGUAAUACUAUGAAAGUUUGUUUAGGUCUUUCACUAUCUUGUUCACCAAUGUUUCUAUUUGCUUUUGUUUUCUAAAAUUACUCCAAAAAGGGGCAGUGCUUAGAACUGAAUCUAAUGCUUCUGUCAUGGUCCUUUUGAGACAGAAUAAGACAACACACACAGAAAAGGAAAACUAUAGUUCUGUUAAGUAUAUUUCUUAUAAAAUCUUCAUCUGUAUGCUUCAAAACUAAAAAUAUAGUGAUAUAAGUAUACAACAUUUUAUAUAAUAGAGUGUAGAUAUAGAGUAGUAAGGAAAAGAAUACUGAAAUCAUUCAGAAUAACUCAUUACCCAAAGAAAAUUUCUUUCAGAUCUUUUCAAAUUCACUCAUCUCUUUGCUUUUUCUCUCCCUGUAUUAUGUGUAUAUUUAGUUCUGUGAACAUCACACACACAUAUGCACAAGUAGUUUGACCUAAGUAAAAACACAAUAUUUAAAACCUCUGUUUUAAAAUUUAAGUACUUGUCAUUAUUACAUUGUUAUAAAUUUAGUUCUACAUCAAAGUUUGCAAACUCUUGGCUGAUGGGUUCAACUUAGCCCACAGACAUUUUAUUCUCCCCUCCCCACCAAGGUUUGCUCAAUAUCUGAAAAGCCUGGGCAUACUGCAGCUUCUCCUAGAAACUGGGCAAUCUGCUGAUACUGGCUGUGCAGCCUGACGUGGAUGUGGCAGAUGCUGAAAGGAAGGUGCUUCCAUUGCCCUGGGAGAUGCUCUCCAAUGGGCUUCAUGCUCAGCAUUGCCUGUGUCAUACACACAGCCUGUAAGAACAGCCUCUGCUGGAUGAAUUUGUGAUCCCUGAUCAUCAUCAUCUUAAUAUCUGUAGCUGUAUGCAAUGGAUGCACCAGAGUUCAUGCCAUAAAUCCCCUUUUGGUAGUCCCUAAUAUUGGCUCCAUGUUUCUCCUAUUAUAAAUGGUGUCACAGCAAAUAUUUCUUUCACCUAAUUACUUGAUAAUCUCAUGAUGAUGUCCCAGACUAUAUAUGGAAUUGUGUCACAAAAUAGACACAGAGGUUUUAGAACUUAUUUGAUUCUUGUAAACAUUAUCAGGACCAGAAAAACAGCCUGAGUUUUUCAUUUGCCCUCUGUUAAGCAAACACUUGACCACUGUACAUGUAAAAACAGAUCUAAAAACUAGAACUGUUCAAAAAUACAUAGUAAUUAGAUUAAUAUUUUAUUGUAUAAAAAUAUAAAAUACAGAAAAAGGUAAAGAAAAAAUAAAUAUGUAUGCACUUGUAGAAUUCUUUCCAUUUUUGCAUUUUCCCAGUUAUAUAUGCAUACAUAUCUAUAUACACAUAUAUAUUUACCUACACAUUUUUUAUACACACAUUAUUUGGUAAUGUUAGUACAUGCUAUUUAUACAAUUUUUAUUUGUUUUACAUUUUUCACCAGAUAUCAUCAUGACAGUUUCCAAUAUGAUCUAAUAGUCCUCAUUUAGAUAAUUUAAAAAUUGUUUAAUAUUUCAACAUAUGAUAUCACUUAUUUAAAUAAUGCCCUAUUAUUAGAAACUUAAAUUAUUUCCAAGUUUUUCUUUUUUACAUAUAAUGUUCCAAUUAAUGCCAUAGUACCUAGAUUUCUUUUAAAUCCUUAGAAUACAUUUAUACAUAUGUAAUCACUAGGCUAAAUAUCUGACGUGCUCCUAUAGACCAUUUUUUAAAAAUCUACAUUCAGGGAGUUCCCGUUGUGGUGCAGUGGUUAAAGAAUCCAACUAGGAACCAUGAGGUUGCGAGUUCGGCCCCUGGCCUUGCUCAGUGGAUUAAGGAUCCUGCGUGGCCGUGAGCUGUGGUGUAGGUUGCAGAUGCGGCUCAGAUCCUGCUUUGCUGUGGCUCUGGUGUAGGCAGGUGGCUACAGCUCUGAUUCAACCCCUAGCCUGGGAACCUCUA